rnacentral:rRNA from 1 species
UACGAAGGGGGCUAGCGUUGCUCGGAAUCACUGGGCGUAAAGGGUGCGUAGGCGGGUCUUUAAGUCAGGGGUGAAAUCCUGGAGCUCAACUCCAGAACUGCCUUUGAUACUGAGGAUCUUGAGUCCGGAAGAGGUGAGUGGAACUUCCGGUGGAGCGGUGAAAUGCGUAGAUAUCGGAAGGAACACCGGUGGUGAAAGCGGCGCGCUGGACCUCUACUGACGCUGAGGCGCGAAAGCCAGGGGAGCAAACGGG